UACGGAGGGGGCUAGCGUUAUUCGGAAUUACUGGGCGUAAAGCGCACGUAGGCGGAUUGGAUAGUUGGAGGUGAAAUCCCAGGGCUCAACCUUGGAACUGCCUUCAAAACUUCCAGUCUUGAGUUCGAGAGAGGUAAGUGGAAUUCCGAGUGUAGAGGUGAAAGUCGUAGAUAUUCGGAAGAACACCAGUGGCGAAGGCGACUCGCUGGACAAGUAUUGACGCUGAGGUGCGAAAGCGUGGGGAGCAAACAGG
rnacentral:rRNA from 1 species